ACCCGCUGAACUUAAGCAUAUCAAUAAGCGGAGGAAAAGAAACCAACAGGGAUUACCUCAGUAACGGCGAGUGAAGCGGUAACAGCUCAAAUUUGAAAUCUGGCUCUUUCAGGGUCCGAGUUGUAAUUUGUAGAAGAUGCUUCGGGUGUGGCUCCUGUCUAAGUUCCUUGGAACAGGACGUCAUAGAGGGUGAGAAUCCCGUAUGUGACUGGCUGCCUCCGCCCAUGUGAAGCUCUUUCGACGAGUCGAGUUGUUUGGGAAUGCAGCUCAAAAUGGGUGGUAAAUUUCAUCUAAAGCUAAAUAUUGGCCAGAGACCGAUAGCGCACAAGUAGAGUGAUCGAAAGAUGAAAAGCACUUUGGAAAGAGAGUUAAACAGUACGUGAAAUUGUUGAAAGGGAAGCGCUUGCAAUCAGACUUGCGCGUUGCCGAUCAUCUGGGGUUCUCUCCAGUGCACUCGGUAGCGCUCAGGCCAGCAUCGGUUUGGGUGGUGGGAUAAAUGCCUUGGGAAUGUAGCUUCUUUCGGGGAGUGUUAUAGCCCUCGGUGCAAUGCCGCCUAUCCGGACCGAGGACCGCGCUUCGGCUAGGAUGCUGGCGUAAUGGUUGUAAGCGACCCGUCUUGAAACACGG
rnacentral:rRNA from 1 species